rnacentral:rRNA from 1 species
GGGACUGAGACACGGCCCAGACUUCUACGGGAGGCAGCAGUGGGGAAUAUUGGACAAUGGGCGCAAGCCUGAUCCAGCCAUACCGCGUGGGUGAAGAAGGCCUUCGGGUUGUAAAGCCCUUUUGUUGGGAAAGAAAUCCAGCCGGCUAAUACCUGGUUGGGAUGACGGUACCCAAAGAAUAAGCACCGGCUAACUUCGUGCCAGCAGCCGCGGUAAUACGAAGGGUGCAAGCGUUACUCGGAAUUACUGGGCGUAAAGCG